rnacentral:misc_RNA from 1 species
GCGAAGACCGCGCAGGCUGCGAUGGACUCGCUGGCUGCGGCCCAGGACUCGGUGCUUGAACGCCUCGAGAAGUCGGGCGUGCAGGGCGCCUGCGGACCGAAGCUCAACAAGAAGGAAACCGCGGAGUUCUGGUUCGCCAAGUCGGAGAAGGACGGCAACAUUGCUCCGCAGCGCAAGCUGGCGAACGAGAAGCCGAAGGGCGAAACCGUCGACUACGA